rnacentral:lncRNA from 1 species
GCUGUUCGAAAGCUUUGAAGAUUAAGAGUUUCAGGAGAGCAAGAGCCGAAGAGCAGUAAGAAGUAACUUGUCGCUGGAGAAAGGCAAGUGUGUCCUUGUGCUUUUGUCCUAAUAACUUUGUUUAAUCACUAUUGCAUAUGCUUGCAUUAAAUUUGUUGGGUCCUAUUAAGGUUUGCCUAGUUUUUAUGAUUAUUCCUUGCCAACCUAGGUUUACCUUUCUGUUGGGUAGCUAUGCUUAGCUGCUAUACCUGGGUUAUGGUGGUUCUAAUGAACAAAGAUGAUGAACCUAUUUUAUUUAUGCUACACCUUUCUUUAAUUCAAGAUCAUUAUGUUAAUUGGAACAUGGAGAACCACCCAGGAAAACAGUGCUACCACAAGACUAAAUGGCUCUGAUCUUGGCUGAUUAAUUAGAAACCUUAGUCUGGGGUGACCUUACUCAUGAUGAGGCAAGAGGGGGGACUGAGUCGUUGCAUUUUACCUGGGAUGGGUGGUGCACGCCAGACACCGAAACCUUAGCGGGUUACCACUGACUAAUGAAUCUUUGUAAAGGCCUCGUAGCGUCCCUAUGCAAUCACACCUCGGAAGUGUGGUAUUGUGCCUGAUCAGCACAAGCGUGGUUGGGUCUAAAGUUCUUUUGAGCUUUUACGCGACUUGUGGGUAAAGAUGUGCGACCUCUGCAGAGUGUAAAACUGAUUGAUCAGCCGUGCUCACGGUUAAGAGCGGCCUGGACCCUCACAUGAUUAAUAUACUUGAAGAUGGAUUUAAAUUGUGGUUUAUGCUAUGGUUAUGGUUGUGCCAUAUGCUUAUGGCUUAUGUUUAUGUUUCUAUUAAUUGUGGGUUGGUAUAUACUUAUACCUUAGUAAUCAGGUGCUAAUAAAAUUUGACCAACUAAAAAUGCUUAAUGCAGUCAACCAGUCAGCCUUUCCUUGUUUAACCCUUGCAUUCAUAUUCUCCUCAC